UUUGCGCGAAAUUCAAAAACAAACAAACAAACAAACCACCUGGCCAUGCCAGGUCAAUUUAGCAAUGAAUUUGGAAAGUGAAACAAAAGUGAAGACAAACUGCACAAGUCAUUUGCCAGAACACAUAGUUGAGAUCAUACAUUGAAAAGAAACAAUUUCUUAAGAUAAGAUGGUAGAUACUGCAUCAUAAUUAAGCUCACUAAAACAUCCCCUCUUUACAGCAUCUGUAUGCUGUGUAAAAAUAGAAUUAACUUAAUAGUUGCUUAUACACGUAACUAGCCAUUUUUACAGUUUCACAAUUUUGUACUGAUAGUUGUAAUUUUGAGCAAUUGCUUUGUUAAAUGUGAUGUAUAUACAUUCUUUUCAAAACAGUGAGAAAAAAACUCAACAUCAGUGGAAGUCAGCAAAAGUCUUGGAACCUCCACAGUCUCUCCAGUUUGUCUUUUCACCAGAAACAAAGAAAGAUAUCUAUGAAGCUGAACAACAGUUGCAAAAAUUACAUCACCACCUUCUAGCCACUUAUGAGUCUGGAUCAACAAGGAAAUUCCGUCAAGGACGCACAGAGACCAUUCGAUCAGCUUCUCCAGAAGCGUUAGACUUUUGUAGAAAAAUGAUGAGCAAAGAAGUGGGAACUGAGGAGAAAAAAUCAGCUUUAUAUUCUGCCAUUAAUUCUCAUAAAGAGUAUAGCAUUCAGGCAUGCAAUGGAUUAGGAGUUGAUCGACUGCUCUUAGGCCUAAGGAAAGCAGCCGAAGAAUAGGGGAAUGGAUUCACCCAACUUCUUUUUAGAUAAAGGUUAUACUAUGAGUACAAGUUUUCGCUUAUCGACUAGCCAAGUAGGAAGUGAAUAUGACACUUAUAGCUUUUUUGGCCCGACAGAACCAAAUGGUUAUGGGUGCUGUU
rnacentral:misc_RNA from 1 species